rnacentral:rRNA from 1 species
AUUGAACGCUGGCGGCAGGCCUAACACAUGCAAGUCGAACGAGUGGCGGACGGGUGAGCAAUGUAUGGGAAACUGCCUGAUGGAGGGGGAUCACUACCGGAAACGGUAGCCAAUACCGCAUACCAUCGGAUGUGCCCAGAUGGGAUUAGCUAGUUGGUGGGGUAAAGGCUCACCAAGGCGACGAUCCCUAGCUGGUCUGAGAGGAUGACCAGCCACACUGGAACUGAGACACGGUCCAGACUCCUACGGGAGGCAGCAGUGGGGAAUAUUGGACAAUGGGCGCAAGUCUGAUGCAGCCAUGCCGCGUGUAUGAAGAAGGCCGUCGGGUUGUAAAGGACUUUCAGCGGGGAGGCGUUACCCGCAGAAGAAGCACCGGCUAACUCCGUGCCAGCAGCCGCGGUAAUAC